AGUGAACGCUGGCGGUAGGCCUAACACAUGCAAGUCGAACGGCAGCACAGUAAGAGCUUGCUCUUACGGGUGGCGAGUGGCGGACGGGUGAGGAAUACAUCGGAAUCUACUUUUUCGUGGGGGAUAACGUAGGGAAACUUACGCUAAUACCGCAUACGACCUACGGGUGAAAGCAGGGGAUCUUCGGACCUUGCGCGAUUGAAUGAGCCGAUGUCGGAUUAGCUAGUUGGCGGGGUAAAGGCCCACCAAGGCGACGAUCCGUAGCUGGUCUGAGAGGAUGACAGCCAACACUGAACUGAGACACGGUCCAGACUCCUACGGGAGGCAGCAGUGGGGAAUAUUGGACAAUGGGCGCAAGCCUGAUCCAGCCAUACCGCGUGGGUGAAGAAGGCCUUCGGGUUGUAAAGCCCUUUUGUUGGGAAAGAAAAGCAGCAGGUUAAUACCCCGCUGUUCUGACGGUACCCAAAGAAUAAGCACCGGCUAACUUCGU
rnacentral:rRNA from 1 species